AAAUCAAAUUCCUUCUCAUGAAGGUAGAUAAACAACAUCAUUUAACUCUAAACAAAAACUAGAAUCUAGAUAAAGCCUAACGAUGCCUAUUGCAUGGACUUGAACUCUUUUGCCAUUCCCUAUAACGACUUGAACUUGGUCUUUAUUUGGUGUUUUCUGGUUUAUGAAGUCCUGCAAGGAAUUAGCAACAAGGAUAUAAGAUCCACUAUCAAUAAUCGAAGUAUUGGAAGGAAUACACAUAGAAUUUGACUCAAAACAAACUAAGACCAUAUUAGAAUUACCUUUAGCAGCCCUUUUCUCUGCCCAACGCUUAUACCUAUUGCAAUUUCUCUUUACAAAAGUAAACCGGGAUUAUUGGUUUGAUUUACACUAAGAACAUGUGUCUUAGAGGAAAGGUUAGGCUCUACAACCUCUUUAUUGGCAGUAUGAGAGCUCAUCUUGAAAAGACAACGUUUUUUUAGCACUAAUGGUUAAAUGCUUAGAGUAAGUCUCAUUUUCUUUCUUGUAUCUUUCUUCUUCUUGGAAAUAAACAGAAAUCAGUUCAUUCACACUCCAUUUGUCCUUCAAAGCAUUGUAGAUAAUCUUGAGUUGAUCAUAUUUGGAAGGAAGGAAGUUAAGGACCUAAUGGACUAAGUACAGAUCAGCUAAAGGAAUUUUAAGACUGUUUAGCUUGGUUGCAACAUCCACCAUACUUAAAAUGUACUCCCUUAUACCUCUAACUACAUCAUAUUUCAUGGUUGUGAGCUUACUCAUUAGAUUUCCGGUUUCUGUUUUCUCGGAUUCCAUAAACUUUGCACUCACAUAUAUCAUAAAUUCUUUGGCAUUCUCAGAAGCUGGUAUUCCAUCAAAAAUAACUUGAGUGAUGGUGUUCUCCAUGAUUAGCAGGCACAACGUAUUACAGUUCUCCCACUUCUCGAAUUUGAGCUUUUGUUCAUUGGUGCUGGUGUUAGUUAGUGCGGCUGGUUUCUCCUCUAUUAGAGCUAUAUUGAUGCCCAAUAAACCUAGGACAAUCUCUAGAUCUCUUUUCCACUUUUUAAAGUUGUUACCAGACAAGGGUUCAAUGGAAUUGAUGGCAGAUGGGUUAACUACUGAAAGAUAAACAUGGAAUAUGGAACUUUAUUAAUCUUUAACCCCAAAAUCUUUAUACAUAAUUGACAAACAUCUGUGGACAAAUUAUCAACAUGCUUUUAAUACUUUCACAAGUCUACUAUAUGAACUUAACAUGAAAAACUUUUAUCAAAACCCUUCACAUCUGUAGAUUGAUCAGAGCCGAUAUUCACAUAAGUUAAUGUAAUACCUUGUUCCAUUAUAGAAUACGUCCAAUUAAAAGUUCAUAUCUGUAGACCGAAAACCCUAAUUGGCAAUGUCUAUAAUACAAAUUUGUCAUUAUAAUAUGAGAUUGAAAAGAUGGAUGGCUACUCUAUUGAAUGGUUGUAUGCUAUACAAUAAAAUAGAAUAUCACUUCAAUCUUGACAUCUUUAUAGGUCUUUAAUAUUUGCAACGGAAUUUAACAUAUUCAUGCCUUAUGUAAUAGGGGAAGAAUAUGCUAUCUUGUUUUGGAAAACCCUAAUCGAGUUUGUGAUUCAAUUACAUAGCAUAUACACAGAACUAUAAUAAUAAUACUACUCGAAAUAAUAUAUAUAGCUACAAUACAACAUGUUGCAGAUUAAUAUAUUGACCUACAGAUAUAUAUACAAAAUACUUUCAUGCCUUUAAUCAUCAAUUCAAUACCAUGAGGGGGCGUUUGUUUGCCCUCACUAAGUGGGACUGGACUGGACUAGAUUAGAAAUUAGGGCAGUCCGAUGUUUGUUACACAACCGGACUAGCUUUAGUGGGAUUACCCUUCACUCGCCUCGACUAAGGGGCUCGCUAGAUCGUCUUAGCGAGACCCCCCGAAAACAACGGGAUUGCUAGUCCCGUAUCCUUCGUCUACAAGUCGCGUCCCGCGAACCAACAUGAGCACCAUCAUCACUUCUUCUCCAGUGACCAAACCAGAAACGGCUGUCGCCGAUCUCCAUCGUCCUGCAAACCUAGCACCCUUUUUGGCAUUUCAGUCGGUGAUUUGGGGUCUUUCGCCAUCUGGGUCGACCCGAACGACAUCAAAGAUGGAUCUUUUGCUACCACCGCUCCGCUUUUCCCACUCCAUCUCCUCCUUCCUGGCUUCCCACAACCUGAAAACCUAGAAAAUCGAACCCAGAAAACCCAUAAAACCCAGAAGACCGAACCCAGAAAACCCAAAAAAAAAUCUAUGAGAUAAGCUUGAAUCAACGAUGGGAGUGAUGUAGAUCAAACCCAGAAAACAUAAAAAUUGAUGAUCACAAACUUUACCUAUCUUUCACCUUCGAGCCAAUUGCACAUGCACCCUACCCCAACUCCUUAAUUUACACUCUAUUUUUUGCUUUGUGGUUUGAUUUUGAAGAUAUGCACAGUUGAUUAUAAAUUGUGAGAGGGAGGGAAGAGGGUGAAAAGGUAGGGGAGAAGGAGCUGGAUGGGAAACGGAAAGGGAAGAGAUGGAGAAAAGGAGGAGAGAUAGUUUGACUAAAGAAAAAGGGAGAGACAAAGAGACUUACUGGAAUUCUUUUUUUUUUUUUUGUGUAACAAACAUCAUUCUAGUGUUCUUUGAUUCCUUUAAUUAUUUUUUUAUUUGCAGUUGCGGUUAACAAUGGUGAGAUUGAUGACAAUUCCAAUACGGCAAGAAGAGAAAAAAAAUAAUAUUUUUUUAAUUUUUUUAUUAUUCUGGUAUUUAGUCCGACAUUGCACCAAACACUUCACUAAACUAGUCCAGCUUAAUCUAGUCUAAGCCAGUCCAGCUAGUCCCUGAAGCUAAUCCAGUCCGAGACAGUCCGGUACAACAAACGCCCCCUGACAGUCUUGAUAUGCUUCAGGGGUUGUAAACAACAUAUAGUAUAAACAAGGUAUAAAAACAGAACAUGGAUUAUAUGCAGCAGACAUGACUUUGAAUAGCAAUCAUGCUUCACAAUUUACUUUAUAAGUAUAAUCUUGGUGUUAGACUUCUAGAUGCAUAUAACCUAUGAUAUAAUACCACAUGUAAGUCAACUAUAAUAUGCACACUAAAAGUACUAACCUUGAGAAGCCAUUGAAUCCAAGCACAAGAGUGAAUCACGGACACAACAACAAGCAAAGAUCUUUUGCUCUCUCUACACGCCUUAUGCACUCCUAUAUGGGGUAGGUUUUGUGCUAGAAUAUUGUGUAUAAGAGUGGGGACCUAAGCCUUAUAUUUAUAGGUGAGUAUAUUAGGUUUCUUGCCCAUAAAGAAAUCCCUAAUACAUAUCUAUAGCACCUUCAAAAUCCAUGACCUACCAUGAAAGAUAUUCCCAAUCAUUAU
rnacentral:lncRNA from 1 species